UUAAAUUCCACUAAAAGUUCCAAAACAUAUAAGGGUCCAAUUAAUGUAUGCUCUAAGAAGGCAUUUGUGGAAUAUGUGAAACACCACUAUUUUGAUUGGAUGUUUCACAUCAAAAAUCCUAUUUUUAAGAAGUACACAAAGAAAGAAGAUCAUUACAAGAAUGGUCUUUCCUUCAUUCCUACACCCUUUUGGAAAAAGAUGGUGGAUAAAUGGAUGGAUGGAGAAUGAGGGGAUGGUACUAGCAGAGAUGAAGAGGACAACUCAAACAAUAACAUGGAGGUUGAAAGCAACUUGGAGGGUGACCUAGAGGAAAACUAAUAUAGAUCUUUUCAUAAUUCUAGUUGUUUAAAACAAUAUUUUUAUGUCAUGGUUUAAUUUCAGGAUUUUUUUGUAUAUUCUAUAUUAUAAAGUUUGAACUUAUAAGAAUUUUUAUGUUUCAAUGGAUCAAUUUUUAGUAA